rnacentral:rRNA from 1 species
AACGCUAGCUACAGGCUUAACACAUGCAAGUCGAGGGGCAUCAGGAAGAAAGCUUGCUUUCUUUGCUGGCGACCGGCGCACGGGUGAGUAACACGUAUCCAACCUGCCGAUGACUCGGGGAUAGCCUUUCGAAAGAAAGAUUAAUACCCGAUGGUAUAUCUGAAAGGCAUCUUUCAGCUAUUAAAGAAUUUCGGUCAUUGAUGGGGAUGCGUUCCAUUAGGUUGUUGGCGGGGUAACGGCCCACCAAGCCAUCGAUGGAUAGGGGUUCUGAGAGGAAGGUCCCCCACAUUGGAACUGAGACACGGUCCAAACUCCUACGGGAGGCAGCAGUGAGGAAUAUUGGUCAAUGGACGAGAGUCUGAACCAGCCAAGUAGCGUGAAGGAUGACUGCCCUAUGGGUUGUAAACUUCUUUUAUACGGGAAUAAAGUUAGGCACGUGUGCCUUUUUGUAUGUACCGUAUGAAUAAGGAUCGGCUAACUCCGUGCCAGCAGCCGCGGUAAUACGGAGGAUCCGAGCGUUAUCCGGAUUUAUUGGGUUUAAAGGGAGCGUAGGCGGAUGCUUAAGUCAGUUGUGAAAGUUUGCGGCUCAACCGUAAAAUUGCAGUUGAUACUGGGUGUCUUGAGUACAGUAGAGGCAGGCGGAAUUCGUGGUGUAGCGGUGAAAUGCUUGGAUAUCACGAAGAACUCCGAUUG